rnacentral:rRNA from 1 species
GGAAUCUUCGACAAUGGACGAAAGUCUGACCGAGCAACGCCGCGUGAGUGAAGAAGGUUUUCGGAUCGUAAAACUCUGUUGGUAGAGAAGAACGUUGGUGAGAGUGGAAAGCUCAUCAAGUGACGGUAACUACCCAGAAAGGGACGGCUAACUACGUGCCAC